rnacentral:tRNA from 1 species
GGAGUUGUGGCUCAGUGGUAGAGCACUCACCUAGCAUGUGCGAGGCCCUGGGUUCAAUACUCAGCACCA